rnacentral:rRNA from 1 species
AAAGGGUCCCCGAAAGGUGACCUGCGGAGGGAUCAUUACACAAAUAUGAAGGCGGGCUGGAACCUCUCGGGGUUACAGCCUUGCUGAAUUAUUCACCCUUGUCUUUUGCGUACUUCUUGUUUCCUUGGUGGGUUCGCCCACCACUAGGACAAACAUAAACCUUUUGUAAUUGCAAUCAGCGUCAGUAACAAAUUAAUAAUUACAACUUUCAACAACGGAUCUCUUGGUUCUGGCAUCGAUGAAGAACGCAGCGAAAUGCGAUAAGUAGUGUGAAUUGCAGAAUUCAGUGAAUCAUCGAAUCUUUGAACGCACAUUGCGCCCUUUGGUAUUCCAAAGGGCAUGCCUGUUCGAGCGUCAUUUGUACCCUCAAGCUUUGCUUGGUGUUGGGCGUCUUGUCUCUAGCUUUGCUGGAGACUCGCCUUAAAGUAAUUGGCAGCCGGCCUACUGGUUUCGGAGCGCAGCACAAGUCGCACUCUCUAUCAGCAAAGGUCUAGCAUCCACUAAGCCUUUUUUUCAACUUUUGACCUCGGAUCAGGUAGGGAUACCCGCUGAACUU